rnacentral:rRNA from 1 species
UACGUAGGGGGCGAGCGUUGUCCGGAAUCAUUGGGCGUAAAGAGCGUGUAGGCGCCUGAUAAGUCGGCUGUGAAAGUCAAGGGCUCAACCCUUGAAUGCCGGCCGAUACUGUCAGGCUAGAAUCCGGAAGAGGCGAGUGGAAUUCCUGGUGUAGCGGUGAAAUGCGGCAGAUAUCAGGAGGAACACCUAUGGCGAAGGCAGCUCGCUGGGACGGUAUUGACGCUGGAGACGCGAAAGCGUGGGGAGCGAACAGG